rnacentral:rRNA from 1 species
AGAGUUUGAUCAUGGCUCAGGAUGAACGCUGGCGGCGUGGAUAAGGCAUGCAAGUCAAGCGGGCCCCGAUAGCAAUAUCGGGAUACCGCGGCGAACGAGUUAGUAAUACCUUGGAACGUACCCCGAAGUCGGGCAUAACAAGCCGAAAGGCUCGCUAAUUCCCGAUGGUAUCGUAAGAUUAAAGUCGCAAGACGCUUUGGGAGCGGCCUAGGUCCUAUCAGCUUGUUGGUGAGGUAAAAGCUCACCAAGGCUAUGACGGGUAGGGGGUGUGAGAGCACGGCCCCCAACGACGAAACUGAGAUACGGUUCGUACACCUACGGGUGGCAGCAGUCGAGAAUAUUCGACAAUGGGCGAAAGCCUGAUCGAGCGACGCCGCGUGCAGGAAGAAGGCCUUCGGGUUGUAAACUGCUUUUGCGUGGGAAAAAUUUAUGAUUGUACCACGAGAAUAAGGGGUUGCUAACUCUGUGCCAGCAGCAGCGGUAAUACAGAGACCCCGAGCGUUAUCCGGAAUUACUGGGCGUAAAGCGCAAGUAGUCGGUUUUGUUAGUCUAAUGUUAAAUCUCUGGGCCCAACCCAGAGGCCGCAUUGGAAACGGCAGAACUAGAGCGAGUUAGAGGCAAGCGGAACGUGUGGUGUAGCGGUGAAAUGCGUUGAUAUCACACGGAACACCAAAAGCGAAGGCAGCUUGCUGGGACUUUGCUGACGAUCAGUUGCGAAAGCGUGGGGAUCAAAAAGGAUUAGAUACCCUAGUAGUCC